CAGAGUUCAUGCCCUUACGGGUAGAUCUCCCACCCUAUGUUAUUAUUACCUUUGUUGCUUUGGCGGGCCGUCAGGCCUCGGUCAGGCUAUCGGCUCCGGCUGGUAAGCGCCCGCCAGAGGACCCAAAAACUCUGAAUAUUAGUGUCGUCUGAGUACUAUAUAAUAGUUA
rnacentral:misc_RNA from 1 species